rnacentral:lncRNA from 1 species
UCCUCUCCGGUAGAGUUUGCCUUCGAGGAGUACGUACGAGCAUGCGCGUCGUUUGACAGUGGUCGCCUCUUUCGGGUCAGCCGGAAGUUCGUCUCGUGUGAGUAAUUGUAGAUGGGCGUCAUCCAACAGUGGGCAUCUCCAUAGCGUUGACCUCGAGUGGAGGCGGUAGUUUGUUGAUGCUGGGCCGAGGGAGGAUUUCUUGGAUUACUGAUUUAUUCCCACCCUUUUUCCUCGUGCUGGCUAGUUUGGAGAGAACGUCUGCCCGUGUGUUGUGCUCGCGGG